rnacentral:rRNA from 1 species
GAGCCACCCUGAACAUAAUCAGUCUCAUUUGAUUUUGGAAGCAGGGCAGGGUUGGGCCUGAUUAAUGCUAGGAUGAGAAGCCAUCAGGGACCUGUUGGACCUCU